GCGCUUUGCAGCCGCGGGAGGGGGCGCGGAGCCGCUGGAGCGUGCGCACUGGGCCUGCGGCCGGCCGGGGCACAGCUGGGGUCACCGCGCUGAGGGCCCCUGCCGCGCCUGGCACCCGGGCGUCUCGCUGAGUCGGAGCAGUCCCAGGGAGAGGCUUUCAGGCUCUGGUCAAGACUCGGGCCCCGGGAAGCUGUCCCUGCCCUCGGGGGCUCGCGCCGAGAGUGGGGCUGGCAGGUAACGCGGGGCAGGGGUCGUCCUGGCCGUCAGUGGUCAGGAAGACGCAGCGACCCUGGAGACUCAUGCUUGCUCUGUAUGGAUGAGAGGUAUGAAGGUCAGAGGUUAAACUGCACGCUAAAGGCGGCAGAGCCAGCGAAGGGCAGGGCCAGGUGGAUGCCAGCCUAGGGAGUCUCCCUCUUUGCUGGGGCAAAGCCACAUCACCAGGUCCUUGCCAGAUGAACUAUGUGCUGUCGAGAUGAGAUUCGAGAGGAGCAGGAUUCAGCUGGGCACUCAUUCAUUCAGUGUCAUUCAACAAAUACUCAUUGAGCACCUACUGUGUGCCAGGUAGUCACUAAGAUGUGGGGACACCACCGUGAACAGCAGAGAGGAAGAAGCUGCCCACCAGAGCUUACUUUCUAGCAAAGAGAAGUGUCUUCUAGGUGGCAAGAUGGCUGCCUCUUCCCAAACAUCUCAUCACUAUUCCAGUCAAGAAGGGGAAGAACAAAAGGCAUACCCACACCAGAGAUGGGGUCUUGCUGUGCUGGCCAUUGCUGUUCUCAAAUCCCUGACCUCAAGUGAUUCUUCCACCUUGGCUUUCCAAAGUGCUGGGAUUCCAGGUGUGAGCCACUGCACCCAGCUUGCUUGUGUUCUUAUUGGCCAGGAACUAUUAUUACCUCCAAUGAACAGACCAAGAGAUUGAGCCCCAGAUAUGCGAAGUCACCAGCCCACCGUCACCCAGCAGAGGUGGCUGAUGAGCCCAGACCGCCAGGCUCCAGGGACUGUGCCGUCUCUAGGCAACCGCAAGAAUUACCACCCACAGAGAUGGUGAACCCUGCGGUUGUCACCAGCUUACCUGCCACAAGCGGGAAGGGGAUGUGCAAACACGGAAGCGUUGCCAUUGGAAGGAGGGGUGGAGCCCGUGGCCAUAACUAAUGUUUAAAACUAUCGUUUAAAUUAUACUUUGGAUGUUUUUAUGUAAAGAAGGUACACCAAGGGGUUAGCAGGUGGUUGUCUCUGAAAAGGACUCCUGUAGAGCAGCUGCUCUGAAUUUUCUAAUUUCACCAUAGUGGUGACGUAUCAUAUAUUCGUGUGUGAUUCGAAAAUAUUAAAGGUCAUAUAACUAAUGUAGAAGACGAGCCUUUGCGGAGAGGCCCCUCUUGCCCGCUGGGGGCACUUACGUAACUGCGGGGCGGGCACAGGCCUCUGCGGGGCGAGCGACAGGCGGGGGCGGGGCUACCCUGAGUCUCUGCCCCGCCCACCCCUCUGCCCCGCCCUUUGUCCCCGCCCAGCCCCGGCUGCUUGGAAAUCCCGGAGGCCGGAGCACAGCAGCGCGCGGAGCUGGCCCGGCCCCUCUGACGGUUCCGCCCACGCGACCCGGGCGCAGCGGCGCGCGCAGGGCAGCUGCCUAGGCGGGAGACAGGCAGCGGGACAGCGGCCAGGCUGCGGUUUGGUGGCUGGACUUGCGUUCCCCACUUCCUCUGCCGCGCGCGCCUCGCUCUCCAGUGGGGGCGUCCCCGGGAUGGGGUCGGGACGUCCGGCGCAGCGCGGCUGAAAACACCGGAGGGGUUCCCGGGCGCUGGCACGUGGUGGCUCGGGCGUGCGCUCCUGACCCCGCCGCCUCCCCGCUCGUCCCCUGAUGCAGGUGCCUGGCCCGUGCCCCGCCACCCUCGCCCGGAGGAGCCGCGCCCCAGGCUCCGGAGCCGGCCUCUGCAAGUCCAGGCCCACGGCGCGGAGGCCAGGGCCGCUGCUCCGGGCGAACCGGAACGCGCAGUCACGGGCGACUCCUGUCCUGGCAGCAGUUGCAUUGAUGGGGCGCUCUUGGCCCGGGGUCCUGUAUCACCUGUCCUGAGUAACCGCAGCACCGGUCCCCCUCCCAGUGGGAACCUGAAGGCUUCGGUGGCUGGACCGGGCCCCACGGGUCGCUAAUGGUAUAAACAGGCUUCAAACCCAGGUCAGUGGGUGUCAGAGCUUCAGCACCAGCCAUGGACAUGUUGAAGUUCGCACUGAAAAGUUCGGGUUUCUGUCCAGAACAUUCUUUUACGCAUAAAUAAUAAAUAUUUAAAACCCUGUUUUCUGACUUUGUAGGAUAAUUAAGUGAAAAUCCUGUAAUUUGCUCCUGGUUAAUGUAUUUUUACAUUAACCCCAAGUGGCACUGGGGCCCAAAGUUUAACUGGAAAACAGUUUUCUCUUCCCUCGUGGACCUUGAAGAUGGGACGACAGCAGCCCUUGGCUGUCUGGCCUCCGGGGAGCCGGACCAUUUAACAGGUCAGUCUUCAGUAGCCCCCCUCUUAGUACUCUCCUCUUGCAGGUGAGGGAACUGAGGCACAGCAAGACCACACGGCUCAAGGGUGCCUCCAAAGCUAGACUGUCCUUCAUUGGUGUGGCCACGGCACUUCCAGACAGUCUGAAGGCCUGGGCUCCAGGGCAAGCACCACUCUCUCAGGAUGGGAGGGCUUCGGCCAGUCAUGGGGCAUUCCUGAGCCUCGGUUGGCCCAUAAUUAAAACAAGGGUAUUCGGCAAAGCAAUCACCAUGGCCCUGCCCUCCAUGGAACUAAGACUUGCAUGGACUCCCUGCAGGCUGCCCUGUCUUGCCCACUGCUGUUUCUGUAGCCCCUGCCUGGGGCCUGGCACACCACCAAAGUUCUGUCUUCCACUGAGAGAAUCAGUCAACUAAGAGCAGUCUGCCAACCCCACUCCUCCCAGCCGUCCAGCUGUGCCUGGACUCUUGGGAAAGGGAGUCAAGGCAGGGAAGAUGUGGGGCUGGUCUCACUGGAGCGAGAGCAUCUGCGGUUACACGAGGCUGGACUGGGCAGGAGGAGAUUUCUGUUGUCCGUAGAGUGGCUGGGAAAAUGGAAAGAGAGGCCCAAGGUGGAGGGUCCCGUCUCCUGUCGCCCAGCUAUGGACAUUCACGAAGUCACUGACUCUGUAAAAUGGGUGUGGAUAUUGCCAUAGUAAUGAGUUGAGGUGGAGGUUAGAUGGGACAGUGUGUGCCAAAGGUCUGAUCAUCAUCCAUUCUCAUCGCCACCUUUCAGAGUGUCCCUCAGAUGAGUGUAGGGCUGGAGGGGAAGUGAGGCCCAGCCUCUGGGUGCCUCGAGUGACAGGCUGGGGUCCUGGACUUCGUGUCAAAGGCAGAGGGAGUCAUGGAUGGUGUGAGCAGAUGGGGAAGAGUGGGCCUCUUGCCUGUGAGCCCAGAGACAGGGGUCCCUGGGAGGAAGGCAGGGGGUGAAAUGGGUCCAUCUGGAUUACAAACACACGUGCCCUUUGACCCAGCAACCCAGUUCCCAUGUGCAUGAGACUCCAUGUGUGCAGAAACCAGGAGUAACCUCUCCAUGUGUUGUCGGGGGCUUCUAAAUGCACCAUGGACCAUCUUCACAGCAGAAUAUGGUACAGCCUUCACCACAAAAUGGGACAUCUUGGAGCCCUUUCUGCAGAGAAAGAAGCAAGUGAGAUGUGACAUGGCUGGUGGGCUGUCAUUCAGGGCACAGAAGCAUCUACGAAUGCACAGAUCAGCUCCACAGUGGGGCCUCCAGGAAGGGGACUGGUUGCUACAGGACCAGGGCGGGGCCAGCUUUGCCUUUUACCUUCACCCCUCCAGUACUCUUUGGGUGCCAAACUGUACCCACUAGUUACAAUUCAAAACAAAAAUUCUACUAAAAACUUAAGAAUAGGGCCAGUGAUGGAUUACCAGGCCUGGGCCAGGCUUGGCCAUACAGAUACAGACAGGACAGGAAAGUUCUAGAGUGCUGGGUGUGGUCACCACUAUUUGCCACCUUUCCUCUUCCCAGGAAGCCAAAAGGAUCAUCAGUAUAUUCCUUCCUGUCUUCCAGAACUCCCAGAUGCAUGGACAUCUCAAAGGCCUCGGCAGGGAGGCGUUUUCUGUGUUGUGGUCUAUGCUAUGGGGCUAUGCACAGACUGUGGGGCACUGAUGGAGUCACAUUUGAGGAUGGCACCUAGAGAGUUGUUACUGUUCCCCUCUGCAGGAAGAGCGCUGCCAGUAGGUGGUGUGGGGGCAGACCCUGGGGCUGGCAGCCAGGAAACCUGGGUUCAAGACCUCACCUGGGACUGGCUGCAGUGGCUCACAUCUGUAAUCCCAGCACUUAGGGAAGCCAAGGUGGGAGGAUCACUUGAGUCCAGGAGGUUGAGAACUAGACUGAGUAGCGUAGCAGAAAAUUUAAAAAUU